rnacentral:rRNA from 1 species
AGUGAACGCUGGCGGCAGGCCUAACACAUGCAGGUCGAACGGCAGCACAGGAGAGCUUGCUCUCUGGGUGGCGAGUGGCGGACGGGUGAGGAAUGCAUCGGAAUCUACCUUUUCGUGGGGGAUAACGUAGGGAAACUUACGCUAAUACCGCAUACGACCUUAGGGUGAAAGCGGAGGACCUUCGGGCUUCGCGCGGAUAGAUGAGCCGAUGUCGGAUUAGCUAGUUGGCGGGGUAAAGGCCCACCAAGGCGACGAUCCGUAGCUGGUCUGAGAGGAUGAUCAGCCACACUGGAACUGAGACACGGUCCAGACUCCUACGGGAGGCAGCAGUGGGGAAUAUUGGACAAUGGGCGCAAGCCUGAUCCAGCCAUGCCGCGUGGGUGAAGAAGGCCUUCGGGUUGUAAAGCCCUUUUGUUGGGAAAGAAAAGCAGUCGGUUAAUACCCGAUUGUUCUGACGGUACCCAAAGAGUAAGCACCGGCUAACUUCGUGCCAGCCGCCGCCGUAA